CUUUCCAUCUGUGCUUACGGCCCUGAUUUUUUUCUUUUCUGUCAGAGUUAAAAAAAAAUUGUAUAAAUAAAAAGAAUAAGAAAAUAGCACUUCGCUGACUCACACAUUGGGCAGAACCACAAACUCCUGUGAUAAUCAGGAAAGACUUCGCAGAAAUGUUGGUGCUUGGGUUGGAUCCUGGAGGAUGGGAAUAAAAAUUGCCCUGCAAAGAAGGGCUUCCCAGAAAAAGAAAAGUUCUCCCAUGACAGUAUGGCUAGCAGAACAAGAAUCUGGCUGUAAGUGGUAAGCCUGUGCUGCUACAGUCUGGUGGAGGGUCAAGAAAGCUGAUUCAGAAGCAUGUCUUUUAAGAGUCUCCAUGCCAAGGACAGAGCCCAGUGACUUCAGUUUGGGUGUGGUGAGUUGACCUCAGAGUCUAUUGUGUGAGUGGUUUUCACUUUUGUUUUUAGUUUAUUUUACUUUUCUGGUCUCUCAGCUUUAUUUGGAAGUGCAGUCUAAGGAAAGCAUAUUGGUUUUGUAAGCACGCUAUGGUUUGCUCAGAUUUUUAAAUGAUAUAUAUAGGCUACCACUCUCCUUAUAAUACCAUGGUUAAAGAACUGUCAGUGUUUCCACCAGCUUUGGGGGUUUUAUUAUACAACCAUAACAAACUGCUGCAGGUUGAAAUUUGGCAGAUCUU
ensembl:lncRNA